UACGGAGGGUGCAAGCAUUGAUCGGAAUUACUGGGCGUACAGGGCGCGUAGGCGGCAAAAUAAGUCGGAUGUGAAAUUCCGGGGCUCAACCCCGGAGCUGCAUUUGAAACUAUUUAGCUAGAGUUCAGUUAGGGUAAACGGAAUUCCACGUGUAGCGGUGAAAUGCGUAGAUAGGUGGAAGAACACCGGUGGUGGAGACGGUUUACUGGGCUGAUACUGACGCUGAGGCGCGAAAGCAUGGGGAGCAAACAGG
rnacentral:rRNA from 1 species